GAGUGAUAAGUAUUGAUUAGGGUGGAUUGUAUAGCCCCUCCCUCUAGUGGGUUUUUUUUUAUUUUCAUUUUUGUGUGUGUGAGGAAGUUUCACCUGAGCUAACAUCAUUGCCAAUCCUCCCCCGUUUUUGCUUGAGGAAGAUUAGCCCGGAGCUAACGUCUGUGCCAAUCUUCCUCUACUUUGCAUGUGGGACACCUCCAUAGCGUGGUUGAUGAAUGGACUAGGUCCGCACCUGGGAUCUGAACUUGAGAACCCGAGGCUGCUGGAAGUGGAGUGUGCAGAACUUUAACCACUUGGCCAUGGGCCCGGCCCCAACAUCCUGCAAAGUGGUUUUGUGCUGAAUUCUGAGGGUAACUUGAGACUGGCUUGGAAGGAACCCUUAAAAGAAGUGGAAACUUCUUCCUAUGAAAGGAGGACAACUGUGAUUCCGAAGAAGAGCAGUUUGGGUAAUUCCUGGUAAUUCUUGGGAGAAAACAGAACAGGGAAUAGAAUCUUAAAACCUAAUGGAUGAGACACAGAAUUGAAGUGAAGAAGUGGAAAAGUAUGCUUUUCAAAAAAAAAUUCUUUAAAAAUCCACAAGCUGACGGGAAAGUGCCUUUGCAAAUAAUUGAAGUAAAGAGAACAGAAUACAAAUGUUAUAAUUGUGGGAGUACAUUACAGGCGACCUGGACAGAGUAAGGAUACAGAAGUUAUCCAGCAACCAUUUCAGAGAUUGAACAAAGGAGGGUGAGAAGAUAUGAGCCAUCCAUAUAGAUGCUGAAGGUCUCACCAUCUAAGAACAGAGCAAUAGGAAAGUUCUUGGGUCUAUGACUUUCAGACUAAGUCUGUCCACAAGAAAAAUGCCACUACUUCAUUCAUUCAUUCAGUUACUCAGUGAAUACCUACUGCAUGCCCACUUUGCUCCAAGAACUAGGAAGUUAAAAAUAAAUGAGAAAAAUCCUCUGAAAUCUACGUUAACCUGACAAAAUAUUGUGGCAAGUGUACAGAGUUAUGCAACAAAUGGUAUGAGAGCUUUGCAGGGUGGAGUCACAAAGGAGGCCACAGGAAAGGCAUCACAGAAGAAGAGACAUCUAGGUUAGAACCUGCGGACAGCUCAGCCAGGGACAGAGGUGUCAAGGAAGAGUGUUUUGACCAGGAGGAAGAGCACCUCUAGGAAACAGAAGUUUGGUAUGGCUGGAACCUCUCAAGGAUGGGGUCUGGCCCACCUGGCUACUGAAGAAAUUUGCAAACCUAAUGAAAAUAUGAAACAACCCCAGUUCCAGGCCAGCCCCCACAUUGGCUGUCCAUCCCUGUGAGGUUGCAUUCUCCCAAGCAUUUGUCGAGCUGUCCAAGAGCCCUACAACACUCUCCAGUGGGGAAGCAGGCAAAUUUGGACACAGCAGAUGUCUGCUCCUGAAGACAGCUGGAAAUAACCACGUCUGAUAGAAUCAGCCAUGAGAGCGGGGCAGCACUGUUGUGUGUAAACAGCGUGUUAUCUCUGAGACUCUUAGACAGUGACACAAGCAGCCCCAGGCUCAACCUGUCCUCGAAACAGCAGUGAAGACACUUCACAUCUAGUCUUGUCCACAUAGAAUGAGAAUCACAGGCUUUUAGGACUGAAAGCCCCUUGGAGAUCAUGUCACAAGCCUCUCGUUUUGCAGAUUAACACCGAAAACAAAACCUAUAGACAAGGGGAUAUGUGGAGAAGUGUGAUAUUUAUAAUUGUCACAUAUGCAUGCCAGGAUCCCUAUGUAUUAUUUUAUUGGGCUUAAGCUAGUACAUUUGUUUCCUUCCAAAGAGUUAACUCUGCAUAUCGACAAAAUUUCAUACAAUUUAGCCUUAGAUAUAAAAGUAAAUAUUUAGGUCCACCCUCAAUCCCAGGAGACCCUCAGGACAAGUGACAUCACUAAUUAUGUGGUUACUCCAUGCCAGCCUUUGUCUGGGACCAGGCACUGAAGAUACAAAGACAAAAAAACAUCUAAAGAUGUUUAUAGUCCAGUGUGAGAAAACAAUAUAUGAUCAAAUAACUAAGAAACAUUACAGAAGUGCAAUAUGGGAGAUGUAUGCAAAGUGCGAUAUGAGCAUAUGAAAAAGAAGCUACUUAAUAGCCCGGCACUGAGCUAACAUCCAUGCCCAUCUUUCUCUACUUUAUACGUGGGAUGCCUACCCCAGCAUGGCUUUUGCCAAGUGGUGCCAUGUCCGCAUCCGGGAUCUGAACUGGUGAACCCUGGGCCACCGAGAAGCAGAAUGUGGAAACUCAACCGCUGGGCCACUGGGCCGGCCCCUGAUCACAUUUUAUGAACAGUGCCUGGGAGGCACGGUAAAAGUAUGCUGAAAGUGACCUUCAGUUUACUCAUAUCAUCUUGACACGAGUGAGCCAGGCUCCACACUUGUAAUUUUCAUUAUUAGCAACAAGAAGAGGAGCCUCUCUCAGUAGGAAAUACACAUCAUCCAAAAAGAUAUGGGUAUUUUAUAUAUCAUGUGUCUGAUCGCUUAAGAAAGGCUGCAGGGGUAGAGAAUCAAUAGAGAAGGUGAUAUGUGAAGGAGAGAAAAUUAUAGCUGAAAAUGCCACCACACAGAGGGGGAAGUGAUAUACCCAAGGUUAGUAGCAAAACUUCUCGUUAGGGGCACAAUCGCAACUAGAACCCAGCGGUCCUGCCUUCCCUGAUUCCCUCCUGCCUGGGUCUAGAGAAAAGCAAGUGAGUUUCCUUUUUCAAAUGGGACGAGAUAAAGUGGUUUGGCACUGCCUAGCCACAUGUCAGCAUGUCAUAUUGUUUCUUUACCUCUGCCCUAUUCAUAUUUUUGUCUCAACUGAAGCAGAAGGCUCUACUUGUAAGGACACAAAGUGGCUCCAUGUCAACUUUCCCCCUGUGAAUUAUGUUUAUGAGCAUACCAACCAAGGGCAUAUCUAAAACACAUGAUUGCUUUUGGCAUCUAACCAAUUCUUCUCUUUCCCCCCCCAUUUUAUGGAUAAAAAAGACUUUUUCCGGUCAUUCUUCUCAGAUGGGGUCCUUGAAACUUCUGUAAUGUAUAAUGUUAAUACAUCAACUGGCAAAGAAGAAAAAUAAGUAGCCUGAUGAAAAUAGGCAUCCAGGAGUUCAGGCUCCUGAAAUCUAC
rnacentral:lncRNA from 1 species